ensembl:lncRNA
CCCCUGAAAACCUCCUCAGAGCCACAGUCCCAUAAUCAACACAGCACAGACUGCUCGCGCGGGGCCGUGCACGCGCUGCACAUUGAUAAGAAAACUGCAAGAACAAGAGUUAGAUUUAGGCUAAUCUACAUUAAUGUCGCUUUUGUUACAGACAAUGAGAAGAAGGGACCCUCGCGUAGCCUACUACACAUGGACCAUCUGAAAUUGGAAAGGCUUUUUAAUAUAUAACAGUUUUUAUGCUUUAUCAACGGUGAUGUGGAGUUAAUAAGUGAGGAGUUUAUACCAAAACAAAAGGACCGCACGCGCAUUACUUUACUUUUUAAAAAUAACUCUUUAAAAUGUUGUAUUAUUUUUUUUUAUAGGCCUAUAUAAAGUCCUGUUUGACUUUUAAGACAUUUUAUGUAAUCUGAAUUACUUUUUUUAAUUAUUUGCCAUGCCUGAACAGGUAUUUUAGAUUACCGUUCUCUCAGACAGACUAAUAAUAAGAUACGUCUUUAUUGGUCUGAACCAUAAAUGAAUGAUUAAAUAAGCGCCACUGAGGAAUCCAGGAUUUUGGUGCUUCGCAUGGGAACAAACCUCUUCGCUUUAAUCCGCAAACUGCCUUUCAAAGGACUUCAAAUGGGCCACUUGCUCCUCAGAAGAGAGACUCAUUCUGCCGUGGAGGGCAAUCUGAAUGUUUGCGCACUGCGAGGAAUGUCGAGCCUGCAGAGCCGCUGAGGGACUCAAACUGCUGCUUAAUUAACCCGAUAUUUGCUCGCGACUCGGAGCCCAGUGCGGAGCGUCUGGUGCGCGUCUCUCUAAAUGCGCGCUGUCCCGUGGAGCCCCGCAGCGGCACGGCAGCAAGAUGAGAUCGCGGAUCCCGCUUCUUCUCGCGGUACUUGCGGCGGCGUGUCUGCGGUUUGGCAAUGCGGAGGCUGAUCCUCUUCCGGCCGCUGUGGUUGAGUUGGUGAAGGGUGGAUCUGUGUCUUCUAUUCAGGACUUGCAGUUUUUGCUGUUCUCUGAAUCUAUAGGUAAAUAAGCUUUCUUUACAUUAAUAAUAUAGACACUGUAGUGACCUGUAGCUAUCAAAUAAAUAUGUUUGGUGUUUUAUAGGUGUGUCA